UACGGAGGGUGCAAACGUUGCUCGGAAUCAUUGGGCGUAAAGCGCACGUAGGCGGCCUGUUAAGUCGGAUGUGAAAGCCCAAGGCUCAACCUUGGAAGUGCAUUCGAAACUGGCGGGCUUGAAUAUGGACGAGGGUCGCGGAAUUCCCGGUGUAGAGGUGAAAUUCGUAGAUAUCGAGAGGAACACCGGUGGCGAAGGCGGCCUUCUGGACAGUGACUGACGCUGAGACACGAAAGCGUGGGGAGCAAACAGG
rnacentral:rRNA from 1 species